rnacentral:rRNA from 1 species
GGGGGGUACGAGGAAUAACAGCAGGAUCUCGUAGUAACUGCGAGUGAAGUGGGAGAAGCCCAGCGCCAAGGUUCUCGGCCCUGUGGUCGACGAACGAUGCGGCGUUUGGCACGUACAUUGUGCGUCGGACGGAGUGACAAAGUUCCCUUGACUGGGCUCGUGCCCCAUAGUGGGUGUGAGGCCUUUAGUUGCUCGUGUGCCGGCGUACCUAGUGCGUGUCUAGAGUCGGGUUGUUUGGGAGUACAGCCCAAAGUAGGUGGUAAACUCCAUCUAAGGCUAAAUAUGAGCACGAGUCCGAUAGCGAACAAGUACCGUGAGGGAAAGUUGAAAAGCUCUUGAAAAACCGUGUUCGGUAUUGCUUGAUAUUGACUACAGGACAGCGGACAUGGACAUCUGAAUCCGCCAGUGAGAGUGUAAUGCCUCUACUGCGCAAUCAGCCGGCCCUGAAAAUGGAUGGUCACUGCGACUACUGCGGCCUGGCCGUUCGUGGGUCGUUGCGACGUACUUUCGACUGGCGUAUGGUAGCCGCGACCAAUUGGCUGAGGUGCCAAGUGUGCGAGGAGGUAGCCACGGGUGCUCCUUGUGGGUGCUGCUAACGUCGGUGAUGCCUCGUGCAUUGGACCAACUUCGGUCGAUUGGGGAGCGACUGCGGUGUACGCAUCCUUUGAGGGUGCUUGCUGCUCGGCCGGGCAGGGACGCGUCUUGGUGGACUGCCGUGCAGUGCUCUGGGGCGUGGACCGGUCGCGGGUUGAGUGUGUUAGCGAAAGCGAGGUGCACUGCUGGUCAGCGGCUUGUUGGACGCCUAUCCGUCCCGUCUUGAAACACGGACCAAGGAGUUGAACAUGUAGGCGAGUCCUUCGGUUCUCGAAACCAGGAGGCGCAGUGAAAGCGAAAUUAGCCAAGAUCCGCUGUUUCGGCAGUGGCGCAUUGGCGACCCAUCACAUGGUCGCGUGCCUGUGGUGGAGUUUGAGCCUAUACGUUCAGACCCGAAAGAUGGUGAACUAUGCUCGAGCAGGAUGAAGCCAGAGGAAACUCUGGUGGAGGUCCGCAGCGAUUCUGACGUGCAAAUCGAUCGUCUGACUUGAGUAUAGGGGCGAAAGACUAAUCGAACCAUCUAGUAGCUGGGUCCCCGCAAAGUUCCCCUCAGAUAGCUGGUACUCGAGGGCA